CCGACUGUGUGUGCUGUCCGGGAUAUGUUUGCAGCAUCUAAUACAGAUAAAUAAUUUGGAAUUCUUGAUUGCCUGAAUGGUUUGAUGUGCUCUUGGGCAGUACUUCCAUUGUGUCCAGCCUAUGAGUCAUAUGAGGAGGAGUCAAAGAGGGUGACAUCAUGGAUCUGUUGAUCAGAGGAAGGUCUUGGUCUCACAGACACCAAGGGACGACUGCAUUACUUUCAUAAUCGGAAUGCUUUCGAGAAUGUCAGGCUCCUCCUUCCCCUCAAUUCUUGAAAUACACUGUGAAAGAAAUAGCAUUUUAUACAUCGAUAUGUUGAAAAAUAAUAACCCCAGUGUCGCAUGAAGGAACUCAUGAAUAAAGUAAAAGUAACUUGAAAGGCUAAUUUCUUUUUUGUAAGCAGGCUGUCUACAGAACCCACAAUGGGCCAUUGAGCACACAGAGCCAUGAUAGCAUCUGUCAUUUAAUACUUGACGGAGAUGGCGAUUGUGUCUCACCCCAUUGGUGGAAGCUUGACUUUACAGUCUGAAGUGAUUGGCUAACCAGGGCAAAGGGAAGGAGAAUCAGAGAACAUGGACCCUUGUUAGGCUAAUUACUGUUGAUAGAAAAAAGCUGCCCCACGCCCGAAACAAGCACAAAAGAGGCUUCCUAGCUACCAACCCUCAUCAUCUUUCCUCUUCACUCUCAUCCCCUCAACCUCAAUCAAUAUCAUAAUGAUACAGUAGAUAUUGGGUUUGGUGACAAUCUCAGGAGGGGUCUGAAUCAAAUAAAAUCAUGAAGUUAUGUAGAUAGUAGCAAACUAAAUGAGAGACUUUUAUUAAGAAAGCAUACAUUUCCAAAGGAGGGCGCCUGCAACUAGGGGACAGCAGUUUCAAGGGCUCCAUUUUAAAUUGCCCCCCAUGGGCAUUUUGGUGUUAUGAUGAGCCACAGGCUUGGACACUGGCAUUCUUAUGCCUUCACCCGUGGCUACAUUUUAGUGGUCGUUACAGGAGGCACGUGAGCCUUCUUCAUCAGUUUUUUGUUUUUGUUUUUGUUUUCCAUGUAUUAAUUUAGUAAGGCUUGGCCCAAGGUCUUCUGGACCUGGCUUUCUAUUCUCCUUCCUCAAAAAUUUCUCCCGUGAUUAUGACUUCAGAAGUCCCUGAGUCCUCUUCACCAGAAUCCUCCCUCUGAGCAUCGAGCAGUGGCUGCUACCACAUGGCCGUUGGUUAAAGUGCACUUCAUCUACCUUAAACCAACGCAGGAAGGCCCUGCUCACCCAGCUCCCGCUCAAGCUGCUGCCGACUCAGCUUUCUCAUAGUGAUGAUAAGGAGCAAUCUCCGUUAACUCUGUUAACAGGGUUAUCUGUACCUUCCCUGGUCUUCUCAAGCAGCUGUCCUCACGCUCCUCUUUAACAAGAAUCCUUCCUCUCUGAGGCCGGCACACCCCAUCCAUGGCCAUCACUUAGGCAAGGGCAUCUCAGCUCUAUUCUCUUCACUCGCUGGCCUAGGUCUUCACAUCAGCCGGGUGGGGCAUGCGCUCUUCUUGCUGUCGCUAUUUCAUAGUAACUUGCUCCCACCGCAGAUCUGAGCUUGUACGGUGAGCUGAGAUUUCACCCAGGCAGGAUAAAGCCUAAAAUCUCCUGGAUAAUUUCCACUGGACUCACCCAGAGACCAGGUGUAUUCUAAGAGCUUCUCUGCCAUCGCACAGAGCCUGGAGAAAUAAAAAGCAUUCGGUUUUUCCGAAGUACAAAGAGUGAACUCUGACAACGCUGUCUCGUUACUUCUCUCCUACGGUGGCGUCCCAUGGUGAACAUUGUCAGCUCAACAACAUAUAUAAAGUAAUUAUUUUUUUUAAGGGCAAUUGCUAGUGAGCAGAGUGGAAGCAAGAGGCUGGCUUCCUGACUCUUAGCUAAUAACCCUAAGAAGGAUGGCUGGGCUAGUCCCUGCAUAGAGACCUCUGUGCCCAGAGGGCCUUUACAUUUCUCUCCUGCUAGAACUCCUACUUCCUCCCCUCUGCUUCUCCCUCGUCUGUUCUUCCUCACACUCUUUUUGCUCCUUCUCCUUCUCUCCCCCUCUCCUCCUUAGUCUCAAGCCCUCUCACCAAAGAAAGUCUUCCUGGGGACAGUCAGUGUGCACAACAGAUUUGAAACAGCUGCUCCUCCUGCUGCCAGUGGGUGGGGAGCCGGGAGCCUGCCUCCUGUCCCCUGCUUGCUACAUUCCUGCUCUCUGCCUCAGAAAUCUGAACAGACCUGUUUAAAGGACCAAGUGGGUGGUGUGUGCACGUGUGGGCAUGCAUCCCUGUUUAGAGAUGGGAUGGAGAAAAGGUAAUUUUAUGGUUCAUUAAAAAAGAAAGAAAGAAAAAUAGAGAGAGAGAGAACAUGCUCAAAGCUCCUCCCCAUUUUCUCUCUAAACUGCUGAUUUUUUUGUUCUGGGCUCCCUAGAACUGGGGUUCACUUGUAAGCCAACAAACACUUAUAGUCCUGGCCAGGAUGCAUUCCUGCUGAGAGCUCACAGCAGCCACAAGAAAGCUGCAGCUGACCUGACUGUCUGUCCUUUUCCUGAGAGGGAAUGCAAACUUGCAGACUUUCAUCUGAUUAGUUGCCUGAACUUCAGCAGAAAUACUUUUACUGUCCUGGUUGCUUCUUGCAGGAGGCCUGCUGGUACCCUGUUCUCAUCGGAUCUCCACAUAGUCACACUGGGUAGCAUGCCCUUUCUGCAUUAUACCUGGAAGCAUGCCCUUUCUGAGGCAGCCAGAGUUUGUAACAUCAACACAGAGUUGUUUGGUAAAAGCGGGAGUCUGCAGAGACCACCAAAUGACGAAAGCUGCAUAAACAGUUGUGGGUGGCUCUGAGUGCUGUGAAUUAUCUGAAACCCAUCACUAGGGGAGGAAGCUGAGACCUGGACCCUCCCGAGAUGAGCGAAUGGUUAUUGUUAUCUCAGAUGCUUCUCACAUUGUGGGCUCCUCAGUUAAUAUGAGUCAUAAAAGAAGUGUUUUAUAGGAAGUAGACUUUUUUAAGUUAACAACUACAUGUAACAUUCAGCCAAAUUAAAAAAAAAAAUCUGUUCCAAAGAACUGGCCUUGAUGGCCAUACCAAAAUAAGGCACCACAUACAGAAAAUUAUAUUUACUGUCAUUUCUGGUUAACGACUGCAAUUCUGAGGGUGGUUCUUGAGGUCAUUGUGUCUACUUUAAAAACAGUCCGGCACAAACGGCUUUGUUGUGCUUGGCUUUGUUGUAGGGGACACAGAUGAGACCAGCAGCAGCCUGUUGCUCUCUGUUAGGAAAGCUUUGAACUGGCCCUGGAGGGGGUUGGGCGCUUUCUUCCCAUUUCAGACAUGGUCAGCUGCUGCCCUCUCAGGGAGCUUACACUGAAUGUCCUCCGAGGUUCUUUCCAACUACACAUUUUUGGAGUAUAUGAAUAUAAGUUCAUGUGGAGGUCAGGGGGAGGAGAAACUAAAAUCAGGAGUUUCAUGGGGGUGAGGGGCUUUUGGAAAGGAGAAAGUUAGAAGGGCUCGCUUUCCAAGGAAGGCCUGCCAGGCUUUAGAUUUACAGGAGGGACAGAGCACCAGUCCAGGUGGAAAUGAAUAUGUCACAAGUGUAGAAGAGGCUGGGUAGGCACAAGCAAAUCAAGGUGGCAGCGGGCACUGAUGGAAGAAGGAGAAGUGCAAUCGAAGAAGCCUCUAGAAAGGUAGAAAUUGAACUGUGUUGGAGGCAAAGGUGAGCUGAGCAAGAAGCCUGACAGACACUCAUGCAUUAUCUGAUAAACCUGACAGUAGCCUAAGGACACAUGAACUUCAGAGCAGCUCAGAAGCACAGGCAGGCGGGGGAACUAUGUACGGAUUGGAGCACUAGUUCCUUCCUGCAGAGGGACUGGGCUUUCCUGGCUAAACACAGGGGCAUGGCUGCAGAUCCCAGCUGUCUGUGGAUCUGGGGCAGAGCCCCCUUCGUGUUUGAGGUUUGUCUCUUGUCUGUAUGGAGAUGAAAGGGCAGGACAGAAAAAUCUGGAAACAAGCUCUCCAGGCCAGAGCAUGGGAGUCUCGGGACUUUCAUCUUACCACAGGGCUUAUGGGGACUUUUAGCAUGUGGGACAAAUCCUUUGUUAGUGAACAAAGAAAUAUGGCUAGAAGAACAUUAAUGAGAAAUUGAAAGACUGGAAGCCAGCCAGGUGUGGAGCUGUUUCCAAAGGAGUGAAACUGGAUGGAUGUCUAUUUGCAACUCCACCAUGAUAAUCACCUCUCUCUCUCUCUCUCUCUCUCUCUCUCUCUCUCUCUCUCUCUCUCUCUCUCUCUCUCUCAUGUGUGACUAAUACUGGUCAUAGAAUGGCCUGGAGAGGGUGUAGUGUGGAGUGAUGGUACACCCUCUGGACUGGGAGGGACUGGUUCCUUGCGUCACAGACCCCAGGUAAGCUGAUUGCUGGGGGCCGAGCUAUGAAGAGUGGAGCAGGCAAGAAGGAUCAGGGUUCCCUGAAGGAUGUACACAUUCCAGGGAGUUUUACCUUUUACAUUUCAACAUUCUGCUUAAAUCUGUAUUUUCACUCUAUUUCUUAAAUGUAUGCUGUCAAAGCAGAAAAGAAAAAAAUUAAAAAGACAAUAAAUCGUUCUGAAAGCUGUGCCUAGAAUUUGAACCACAAGACGUCAGCUCCAUUGUGACCCUCAGAGGCUCCUAUGUGGAUGUCCAAUCAUGGUUCUACCACAUUUCCUCCCGUGAAGAGGCCACUUCUCUAGAAAGCCUCCUGUCCUAGAGUUGACCUUGUCAUGCUUCUCUCCCUCUCUUGCAAAAUGUUGCUCCAGGAAAUCACAGUGGGAGGAGCCAGGCCAGAACACAUGGCUUCUCAUAGGCAUACAACACACACACACACACACAUCCACACAUGCACACUACAUACACAUACAUACACAUAUGCAUAUACUACACAUAUUCACACACAUAUACAUAUGCAUAUACCACCCAUACACACAUACCAUAGACACACAUACACACACACUCACACACACAUACAUAUACAUAUGCAUACACCACACACACACACACACAUAUACCAUAGACACACAUACUCACACACUCACACACACAUACAUAUACAUAUGCAUACACCACACACACACAUAUACCAUAGACACACAUACUCACACACUCAUACACACAUACAUAUAUAUAUAUAUGCAUAUAUAUAUAUGCAUACACCACACACAUACACUCACACAGAUAGAUAUACAUAAGCAUACACCACACAUACACAUACCUAUAAUAAGCAUACACCACACUCACACAUAGUCACAUACACAUACAUAUGCAUACACCACACACACACACACACACACACACUCAUACAUAUACAUAUGCAUACACCACACACACACACACACACACACACACACACACACACAGAGGAGAGUUUUUCUAUACCAUUUUCUCCUCCUUUCUUUCCAUUCAGUACUUCUAAGGAUUUCAAGGUACAAAACUACCUAUGCUCAGAAGACCCUGUUCUCUGACACUGCUAACUCACACUGAGUUCAGAGUGGCCAGCCCAUCUGAUGGACAUCAGGUCAGGUCAGAGUUCUUGCUUGUAUCUGGACAGAUUCCACAGAGCAGACUGAGGAAACUUCCUGGACCCAAGUCCCCAGAGGAUGCUGUGGGUGAGGUUAACUUCACCUCCAACUUAAAAAGAAUAAAUAUAGUGCAGGCCACCCCAAAGGCCAAAGGUUGAAAGUCUGGUUUCCAUGGCAGGAGAGAGACGGCCCCAUCCUCUGAAAAUGGAAAGCAAUGAAAACUUCCGGGACCAUCUACUGUCAAAUAACAAGGUUCCGAAAAGCUUCAUAUUACCCUAAAAGGCAUAAGAUGAUUGAGGAGCCACGGUCCCAAGUGCUACAACAGCUCCAAUUGAAAGUCUUCGGACAGUUCCUUUGAAAGUCCUGCCCUGUGGCUUUGAGCUGUCCAUGAGAGUUAGUACUGGUCAUGCUGUUCCCUUGAACAAACGCCUUGACAGAGAAGUCAUUCCGAUGACGGAUGAUAACUCAUUCCUGGACAUGUGCCACCUCAAGUCGUAGCUCACCUUUAGUCUUCUUUGGUUGACCAGAUUUCUGUAAGUAUUGCCUGUCUUCAGAUUUUAAAAGAAAAAAAGCCAAACCUCUUUAGAAAAAGCAGACUGGAUCUGGCAUUCAAAUGUUUUAUGCCUGUAUGAUCAAUGCUAUUGGACUUUAUUUACAAAUAAAAUCUUCCUACACACUUUUGUCUCACCAAAUCAUAUGGUACAAAAGGUAAAAAGGCUUUGACUUGGUAAGAGUGACAAUUAUUGGUGAGGGAAAGCCAUAUUAGAUAUGUUCCCAUCUGCCCGGAAUCCCUGUGAUCUUUGCUUUCAAUGUCAUCUUGAUUUAAGUGUUUUGUUCUUACUGCACUUAUCUCAGAAUUGGGAAAUGAAAUAAAUAAACAGCAUUAUUUUAAAAUA
rnacentral:lncRNA from 1 species